UUGUUGAGGAUUACUCGCCACCGGAAUCACCGCAAUUUAGUUUGCAGCAGGAGGAGGAGGAAGAUGAAGAACAGGAACACACGGAGGAUCAUUUCGUCACGGGAAUCAGACCUUACAUGUUUGAGCCGUUAUAUGCGGAGAGUUCAAACGGUCACCUGGACGUGGCGGCUCAGGAGCAAGUUCACACUCGCGAGCAUCUCGAUGUGUCCCAAUGAUUGUUGAUAAAUGUGCAGAAGCAGAACUGCAACCUGGAUGCAUGACUCAACACCCAGGUUUUGAAGCGGUCUGCUUGAACCCAUGGGUUCUUCAAGUUGAAUACGCAUCCUUGGUCCAGUAUUAUGGCGACUAUGACCAAGAUGUGUUUACUAUCGAAGAGCGAUACCGUCACACUGCCUACAGGACCUUUGUCAGAUGGUGUUGGGGCUACUUGGGAAGAAAAAUACGUGUUGUCCUCCCAUCAUGUGUUGUUGUUAAAAUAAGAUCCACAUUCACAUCAGAGAGAUACACCGGCUUCAAGCUACCUUCACUACAUCCACAAUAGCAAGUGAUAUGCAUGUACAACUGUAUGUAAUAAAUAAUGACAAAGGACUUUAA